UUGUUAGAUGGGAGAGUAUCAAGAUGCUCCAAAGAAUGUGUAUUCAAAAGGAAAAUAAGAAUCAAUAGUAAAAAUGUAGAAGCAAGAUGAUGAGGCUGGGACAUAGAAGAUCCAAGUUUUAAUUUUCAUUCUAGUAUACUUUGCUGUAUGAUUUCAGGCCUGGCCUCCUAUGAGCCCAGAGAAGCAGCUGUAGUGACUCCAUGGGCUCUGGAUACAGACGUGGCAGAAGAGAAUGGAUAGACACAAAGCAUCCUUAUUGAGAAAACUCCCCCUGAGACAGUCUUCUGUUGCCUUCUUGCUCAAGCAAAAAUUGGAAGGAACAGUGAGGGGUCAUUUCCUUUUAUCUAAAGAAUAGAGGAUCUGAAAGAGAAUCAAAUCCAGCAUCCCAUUUUUGCAUUCUCAAUAAGUGAUAAUAAGACUAAGGAUAAAAAAAUCAUGAUCUGAUCUGUUUAACCAGAUACUACUUUUUUUUUUUUAUUUAGCUAUUGAGUUAACAAUGAAACUACUGAUCCAGGUGUCUGGAGGAAAUCAUCAAGUGAUGUAGUUUAAUUUGUCUUCAGAGAGAGAUGGAUGGCUAUGGGGCACUCAAGGACAGCUUUCCACCACCACCUCAGAGGUUCAGAUUUCCCUGGGUUUUUUAAAGAAUAGUCACAAUAAUACAUAUUUCUAAAGUGAUCUUACACCUUACAAAUACUUUGCAUUUCAAGUUAAAAGAUCAUAAAUUUAGACUCAUAAAUAAAAAUAGAUUAACAAGUAUAAAAUUAGAAGGG
rnacentral:lncRNA from 1 species